rnacentral:rRNA from 1 species
GCUUACGGCCAUACCACCCUGAGAACGCCCGAUUUCGUCUGAUCUCUGAAGCUAAGCAGGGUCGGGCCUGGUUAGUACUUGGACGGGAGACCGCCUGGGAAUACCAGGUGCUGUAAGCC